UGGGGAAUAUUGCACAAUGGGGGAAACCCUGAUGCAGCGACGCCGCGUGAGUGAAGAAGUAUUUCGGUAUGUAAAGCUCUAUCAGCAGGGAAGAAGAAAUGACGGUACCUGACUAAGAAGCCCCGGCUAACUACGUGCCAGCAGCCGCGGUAAUACGUAGGGGGCAAGCGUUAUCCGGAUUUACUGGGUGUAAAGGGAGCGUAGGCGGCAGUGCAAGUCAGAUGUGAAAGGCCGGGGCUCAACCCCGGGACUGCUUUUGAAACUGCAGGGCUCGAGUUUGGUAGAGGAAAGUGGAAUUCCCAGUGUAGCGGUGAAAUGCGCAGAUAUUGGGAAGAACACCGAUGGCGAAGGCAGCUUUCUGGGCCAUAACUGACGCUGAGGUGCGAAAGCUAGGGGAGCAAACAGGAUUAGAUACCCUGGUAGUCCUAGCCGUAAACGAUGGGCACUAGGUGUGGGGAGACAUUCUUUCCGUGCCGCAGCUAACGCAUUAAGUGCCCCGCCUGGGGAGUACGGCCGCAAGGCUAAAACUCAAAGGAAUUGACGGGGGCCCGCACAAGCAGCGGAGCAUGUGGCUUAAUUCGAAGCAACGCGAAGAACCUUACCAAGUCUUGACAUCCUUCUGACCGGUACUUAAUCGUACCUUCUCUUCGGAGCAGGAGUGACAGGUGGUGCAUGGUUGUCGUCAGCUCGUGUCGUGAGAUGUUGGGUUAAGUCCCGCAACGAGCGCAACCCUUAUCUUUAGUAGCCAGCAUUUCGGAUGGGCACUCUAGAGAGACUGCCAGGGAUAACCUGGAGGAAGGUGGGGAUGACGUCAAAUCAUCAUGCCCCUUAUGUCCUGGGCUACACACGUAAUACAAUGGCGGUCAACAGAGGGAUGCAAAACCGUGAGGUGGAGCGAACCCCUAAAAGCCGUCCCAGUUCAGAUCGUGGGCUGCAACCCGCCCACGUGAAGUCGGAAUCGCUAGUAAUCGCGGAUCAGCAUGCCGCGGUGAAUACGUUCCC
rnacentral:rRNA from 1 species